AUCUCAUCUUCCUAUUCUCAAUAGAGCCGUCGCUGCCAAAAUCAAGGUCCGAUGUGCGCAAACUAAUCACCAGGAGAGCUCGAUGUUGUGCACCCGGACCACCACACCUCGCCUGGAUGGCGCCGCCGCCAGGCCGCAGUGACUCCCUGGUGCCCGCUUGACCUUCGUCGCACUACUGCACCACGCCUGGACGGCACCGCCGCCCGCCCGCAAUGCGUCACCGACAGCCGCAGCUUCUCCUCGAGGCCCCCAGUAGCUUCGCCCAACUGGUCACUUCCAAUCAUCGGCAUCCGGUUCGCCCAUCUGCCGCGGCCCUCCGCACCCACCAUAGAACGUCCAUCGCCACCAAGGAUCUAGCCACUUCUCGUCCUGCAUCCCCUCAGUUCCUCCUCCCUUUGUGGUGGUGUGGAGCUCGGUGAACUAAUCGGCGUGGUCUGCGGCGAGAGAGGAAAAAGAGGGGCUCGGGCUCUACUUGCCUCUACCGUGUUUAUUUUAUUUUCUCCGUCAGAUUGGAACAUCUCUAGCGCCAGCGUGAGUUUCUGGGAUUUCCUUGCGGUUUACAAGAUGAACCCCUCUAUCAUUGGCGCUAAUGUUCCCAUUAGCAAGGAAUGGGUUCCAGAAGAUAGACAAGAUCAAGGACUAUCACAGGCAUCCAAGCAGCUAGAUGGACUCACUGGCAAUGAGGGAGUGCAAGCGAACUGCAGAUCAAUGAGGUUGCUGCAGCUAGCAGUCAAAUAUAUAUGAUAUUAUCUUCAGUGAGGUAAAUAUUAGAUACUGUAGCUAAGUUCUGUUAUGCAAAUUUCCACACCAUGUUCUUUUAGCAAAUACUUUCAUUGACGCUUAAAUAUUAGAAAAGACAUCAUCCGCAAUGUAUACACAGAAUGUGGGCUUUGCUAAACAAACAUUGGUGGUAAGAAGUUCAGAUUAUCAGAACUUCUAUCGUUCAUUUCCUCAUAAUUAUUUUUGGUAUUCAACCCCAACAUAAUAACUAAUUCUUCUUGGACGUCGUGUUUUGAUCCCCAAAAGGAGUACACAGUCAUAGGUUAUACAGUUUUCUGUUUUAUCUCACUUAUUUACCAUAAGCAUUGAAAGGGAUGCAAAGAAGAUAGAUGGUGUGCCGAAGUAACUCUGACCUGGUUCCAUGUUGAGGUUGCACAUCAGCUUUUUCCAGAAACUAUGUUCUCACAAAUAAGACUGACUUUCUGCAACCGUAUUAUUUUCAUCAUUGUAAAAGUAAUUUAAAUUAUUCUGUAGUAUAAGUUAUGGUGCAAAGUGAUAUAUGUUGUUCUAACCUUUAAAUUAUUCUGUUCUUCAGAUUCCAUAGAUCUUUCAUGCAUGUGGCUUAUUAAUCAUUUUGACAUUCCCAUCAGAUUACUAUGAUAGGAAUUGAAGCAUUUUAUAAGCUUUGAUUUUCAUUCUUUCGAAUUGUCAUUUGUAUAAUUUUUUGUUCUAUAUCCGGUGCACUCCACUUCAACAUUCUGGUAUGCCAGUUCUUACUUCUUAGGCCUUUGUUUUUCACCUCUCUUCCUAAUAUUUACUCGCUACUACAUUGACUUUUGGUAAGCUAGGUCUGCAGCAAGGAUGUACAUUUGGAUUUGAUGUUAUUAUGCUAUAAACUAUAAUUGUGCUUCAAAAUGAUUUAUAUACAGAACCAUGUUAUUACAUUUCUAUAAUGUUUUAUAUUCUCCUUUUUCAAGGAAAGAACCCCUCAAUGGAGCUAUUCUUCGUAUGUGCACUUUUUUUUUGGUUUUAUGACUGGUUUCAGUGGCACAAGAGCAAUACUCAACUUUUAUUUUGUCUACCUACCUUUUCUAAGUGAGGUUCAAGUGACCUCAAAUUACAAGUCUGCUUAGCUAUUUUUACCAAUCAACCAGCCUUACAUAUAGUAAUUCUUUUCUUGCAAUUUAAAUCAUUAUAUUCUUUCUUGAGACAUUAAGGAUUGUUGUUUUUCCCCAAGAAACUAUUCAGUAUUCAUUGAGUUUGGUUCUAUAGCACACAUGAUUAUCUUGAUUGAAACAUGUAUUUUUAUUUGGUCAGGU